GACGAACGCUGGCGGCGUGCUUAACACAUGCAAGUCGAGCGGUAAGGCCCUUUCGGGGUACGACGAGCGGCGAACGGGUGAGUAACACGUGGGUGACCUGCCCUCAGCUCUGGGAUAAGCCUGGGAAACCGGGUCUAAUACUGGAUAUGACUCCAUGACGCAUGUUGUGGGGUGGAAAGCCUUGUGCGGCUGAGGAUGGGCCCGCGGCCUAUCAGCUUGUUGGUGGGGUGAGGCCUACCAAGGCGACGACGGGUAGCCGGCCUGAGAGGGCGACCGGCCACACUGGGACUGAGACACGGCCCAGACUCCUACGGGAGGCAGCAGUGGGGAAUCUUGCGCAAUGGGCGAAAGCCUGACGCAGCGACGCCGCGUGAGGGAUGACGG
rnacentral:rRNA from 1 species